CGGCCGCGUCGACCAGGACGAACGCUGGCGGCGUGCUUAACACAUGCAAGUCGAACGAAGAGCGAUGGAAGCUUGCUUCUAUCAAUCUUAGUGGCGAACGGGUGAGUAACGCGUAAUCAACCUGCCCUUCAGAGGGGGACAACAGUUGGAAACGACUGCUAAUACCGCAUACGAUCUAAUCUCGGCAUCGAGGAUAGAUGAAAGGUGGCCUCUACAUGUAAGCUAUCACUGAAGGAGGGGAUUGCGUCUGAUUAGCUAGUUGGAGGGGUAACGGCCCACCAAGGCGAUGAUCAGUAGCCGGUCUGAGAGGAUGAACGGCGUCGACGCGGCCG
rnacentral:rRNA from 1 species